GCUAGUUGUGGUGGCCCAUUCCUGUAAUCCCAGCAGCUUGGGAGGCUGAGGCAGGAGGAUAGCAUGUUCCAAGCCAGACUGAGCAAUAUAGCAAAACCCUGUCUCAA
rnacentral:sRNA from 1 species